rnacentral:rRNA from 1 species
UACGUAGGGGCAAGCGUUGUCCGGAAUCAUUGGGCGUAAAGAGCGUGUAGGCGGUCCGGUCAGUCGGUUGUGAAGUCAAGGGCUCAACCCUUGAAUGCCGGCCGAUACUGCCCGGGCUAGAGUCCGGAAGAGGUGAGUGGAAUUCCUGGUGUAGCGGUGAAAUGCGCAGAUAUCAGGAGGAACACCAAUGGCGAAGCAGCUCUCUGGGACGGUACUGACGCUGAGACGCGAAGCGUGGGGAGCGAACAGG